GAUGACAGGUAAAUUAACCUCAGGUAAACUAAUGAUGACAGGCAAACUACCGUCAGGUAAACUAACCUCAGGUAAACUAAUGAUGACAGGUAAAUCCUACCAUAUCAUUCUCAGGGAGAACAGGCCAGAAACAUCCCUGUGGAGUCAGUGACAGAAGAACAGUUCACAGACGAGGAUGGAAACAUAGUCACCCGAAAAGUCAUCAGGAAAGUAGUACGUCGUAUUGCUGCUACGGCAACUACUUUUACUGCUGCUACUACUGCUACUACAGAGGAGGUGAAAGCAGGUGGAGCAGUAGGAGAAGGAGAAGCAGGAGGAAGAGGAGAAGCAGCAGGAGGAGGAGGAGGCAGGAAGGAAAAUAAGGGCAGGAAGAGAAACAAGCGCUCCCGAGGAGGCCCUAAGGCAGAGCAGGAGAGCUCUAAGGGUCAGAGGGGAAAGACUGAGUCUGGAGAAGGGUCAGGGUCGAAGGUGAAAAAGAAGCAAGUGGAAAAGGAUCAAUACUAACAGUCGUGUGCUCAACCUGGUUUGUUGAUGUUUCAUGACUUCCUGGAAGGGAGAUGACUGGAACUUGAAGCAGGAGAACAGCCAAUCAGAAUGUGUGUCUGCAGCUUUCACGUUAACGCAUGGUUUUACAGCAAGACCACUUUUUUUGAUUUCGCAUGAGCAUGAAAAACUUACUUUUCUGUCCACAACCUGGGCUCCAGUCAUGACCUGUUGUUACCACGGUGACAGGAGAACAGGGGUGUGGUCUGCUCCAUCAUGGCGUCAGGACAACAGUAGCCACGCCUCCAAGCAUCUCUCGGACCAAUGAGGUACAACAGGACGUUUGAUUGACAGAUUAGAGGAACACUUGGAGUCACCUUCUACAAGCCUUAUAUAUUCUGUCCUGUAGCCACACCACUGGGGUGGGUGUAUAAUGUGGUUGUGUUUUUUAAUAACAACGGGUGGAUUGGUUGUAUAUAAAUGACACUGUAAAAACUUCUGAAGUUAGUCACUGAUCGUUUGUUUUCUGCACUGGUAGGACAGCUUCGCAAAGCAUUGGAAUGAAAUGCCUAUAUUGAUUCCACCUUUAUGAAAAUGCUUGGGUGUUACUGCACAUGUCUAAUUAUCAGCAGGAAAUAUUUGUCAAAUCGAAAUGGUAGCUUGAUUUUAACUCCACUGCAACUCUCAAACAUCACUUCUAUGAACAUAUUUCCUCAGAGUACUAAUAUUUUGAUGCAUGAGAUUCACCUGGUUUGACUUACUUUUCCUCAUUUGCGAACAUUGUAUUAUGAAAUAAGGUGUUACUUCUAUCAGUGUCUGUCUCCUCUGCUCUGGCACUGACUGUUUUAAAGAGACAUGAACACACAGCCACCUGGGGGACAGCAGGACAGAGAGGGAGACUUCAUUCUAAUGCUUUAUGAGGGCCCACUGUGUAACAUGGAAUAUGCCUCUACUAUUAAAGACGUGGAGAUAUGAGAGCUCCCACUAUAUCAUGUAGACUGUCACAUUGAAAAGGGUUAG